CGCCCUACGGGGGGCAGCAGUGGGGGAUAUUGCACAAUGGGGGAAACCCUGAUGCAGCGACGCCGCGUGGGCGAAGAAGUAUUUAAGUAUGUAAAGCCCUAUCAGCAGGGCAGAAGAAAUGACGGUACCUGAGUAAGAAGCACCGGCUAAAUACGUGCCAGCAGCCGCGGUAAUACGUAUGGUGCAAGCGUUAUCCGGAUUUACUGGGUGUAAAGGGAGCGCAGGCGGCACGGCAAGCCUGAUGUGAAAGCCCGCGGCCCAACCGCGGGACUGCAUUGGGAACUACCGGGCUGGCGUACCGGCGG
rnacentral:rRNA from 1 species